rnacentral:lncRNA from 1 species
UGUGCAUAUUACCAAUAACUGUUAGGUGAGGUGCAUAUCAUCGGUGGGACUACAGCAUCCACUAGGAAUCUUUUAUCACGUUAGGAUUUUCAUUUUCUUUCUGGGUGGGGAGUGGAUGGAUCCGAUAAAUUAGUGAGAGUCAUUAUUUACAUCUUAAAGUUCUUAUAAGUAAAUUUAAAUAUUAAGUACAAAAAUCUAACUUGAAUCUCUAC